GGCCCCCUAGCUCAGUUGGUUAGAGCAGCGGACUCAUAAUCCGUUUGUCGUAGGUUCGAGUCCUACGGGGGCUA
rnacentral:tRNA from 1 species